rnacentral:rRNA from 2 species
CAGCCGCCGCGGUAAAACCAGCACCUCAAGUGGUCAGGAUGAUUAUUGGGCCUGAAGCAUCCGUAGCCGGCUCUGUAAGUUUUCGGUUAAAUCUGUACGCUUAACGUACAGGCUGCCGGGAAUACUGCAGAGCUAGGGAGUGGGAGAGGUAGACGGUACUCGGUAGGAAGGGGUAAAAUCCUUUGAUCUAUUGAUGACCACCUGUGGCGAAGGCGGUCUACCAGAACACGUCCGACGGUGAGGGAUGAAAGCUGGGGGAGCAAACCGGGUUAGAUACCCGGGUAGUCCCAGCUGUAAACUAUGCAAACUCAGUGAUGCAUUGGCUUGUGGCCAAUGCAGUGCUGCAGGGAAGCCGUUAAGUUUGCCGCCUGGGAAGUACGUACGCAAGUAUGAAACUUAAAGGAAUUGGCGGGGGAGCAC